GUCAAAUUUAGAACUUUGUUGCACAGAACACCACUGACUUUCUUCCUGCCUUCAGAAGGGGCUUCAUUCUUUGAAGAUCCCACAUAUCUUUUAGAAUAAUUUAUAGAAAAAAGAUUAAUUAAACUGGCAAUUUCUUCUUCCUAAAUCAAGGUCCUCAGAGCAUUGCUCGUGGUGAAUUUCUAUCAUCUUACUAUUUUCAGUAAAACAGGCACCAAGUGUUCCCUAUGCCCUAAGGCACUCUACUAAGCACUUUACACAGAUCAUCUAAUUUACCAUUAUAAAAAUACUAUAAGGAUUGAUUGAUUACAAUGUACUGGGGAAGAAAGGGAGAGUUAAGUGACUUCUUUAAAGGCAGAAGCUCUAUAUUUUCUUGGCUGGCAUAUUACCACAUGAGAGGUCAUAAUGUCACUUAAAAAGUAUAGCGAAUGUCAGACUUAAGCAAGCUUGUGUUAUUUUGAACAAACUCCCAAUUUAGAAAAUGAGCUUGAAAUAUAAUUUUUCAUAAUUCUGAAGAAAAAGAAUAAUUUCACCCCUAAACUUUUCUUUUCAAAAGCAUGUUCACAUUGCAUUAUCCAGAUUGACUGUGCCCUGAUUAAAGGGGCAGUUAACUUCUAUUAUAUUUAGAGUCAGAGAUGAAUCAGUUGCACUGAGAGAUAAGACAUAAUGACAUGUCCUCGUGAAACUGCCACUAUUUGGACGGUGUGUUUUGAAAUUGUCAAAGUUGUCUUUAAGUAAUGCAAAGCAGUCACAAGACGACUUUGCAGUUUCAGGAGGUGAGCAUAGUCUGUGAUACAUCACAUAAGGGGUGAGGGGUGGUGGGGGAAGCUAAGCUCUAUUUAGAAAUGCACGGAGAGUUCAUUUAUCUGCUGAUCCAUGUGGGGGCAUUAUGGAACUCAAAGCCCAGAACAAUGGGCUCUAUUUACUAUUAAACAGCUUCUUAAUAAUCCUCUACUUCUCUCCACAGCUGCUGGAAGGUUCCUUUGGGGCGUGCGGAGUCGCCUUGGCCUUGGCACUUCCUGUGGAGUUGUAAAGUGCUCCCCAGGACCAAGGAGUGUUCAGUGUAGAAGUCAUCCUAAUCAGCUGCCUGUUGUUUCGCCCGCAGGUCCCGGAGACGCGAUUGUUCUUCCAGUAACUUUGUUGCGAGGCGGAGGGGAGGGGAGACGCCGAGGGGCCCCCGGAGAGGCUGGAAAGCGCCGAGGAUCUGGAGGCCGGGCUGGGGACCGAGUCCCCGGGCGGCCUCGCGCUGGGCGCGCGGCUGGGAGGUGUCGCCACCGCCGGGAUGCGCUCGGCUUAGCGGGACUGCCGGGGGCGCCAGAAGGCCACCACUCCGAGGACGCGCAGCCCCCGCUGCUCGCGCUCCCCGGGCCGGCGCUGCCGGUGCCCGAGCCAAGCAGCGAGCAGAGCUGCGGGGCGCGCUGGCGAAGGCUGGCGGGAGGGAGGGCGCGCAAGAGGCGGCCCCUCCUCGGCGAGCCAUGCGUGCCGCGGGCAGCUAAGCCGCCGCCGGGCGCCGCUGCCAAGUCUGCGCUCCGCUUUUGUCUUGCCCUCCAGUGAAUGGGAAGAUGGAGAUGGAUGUGGAGGGAGUUUCUCCGCGCCCGGAGCCCAUCCCCCGCUCCCAGGGGGCUGGAGGAGCCUGCCAGGCGCCGUCACAGCCGCCCCAGCCCCAACCCCAGCCCCCGCUGCUGCCUCCGCAGCAUCCGGCUCCGGAUGAACCGCCCGGCGAGAGUGCCGGCGCAGAGGACAGCGACGAUCCCGAGGCGAGACCCAGCGGCGACAAGGGCGAGAGCAAGGUAGGUCCCCGCGUUGGCGCUGUGACACCUUGUGAACAAAACCAAGACGCUCUGGUAAUAGCUGUCACUUUAACCUCUCCACUCCCCCACCCCCUCUCUCGUCCAGGUGGGGGUGGCAGUGGGGGUUGCAGAUGUGGGGAAGGCGUGAGAUGAUGUGGGAUCGCUGGGUGAGAGUGACUUUCUGACCUGGAAGGCGUGUGCAAAGUCCGUCCUGGUUUUUGUAGUCAAGUGUUUGUGCAGAGAAAAGUCUCCUGGUCCAGGCGAUGUGAUGCCAGGCAGGGCGCAGCAUCCCGGGAAAGCGGGGUUGAGGACCGGUGCUCGCCCACACCGUGUAGCCAAGGCUUGUGCGGAUGAUCUAGGUCAAAGCGAAGCGUGUUUUCUGGAGCUGCCAAGUGCUUCUGAGACUCCUUGUAGGGAGGUGACAUCAACCUAAAGAUGACAACGGUGGGAGCAAAGUUUGGCUCUUCUGCAGAAAGGAGAGCUCUGCCUCACCCAGCUCCAAGCUGGAGGUCCUGCUCUGCUCCUUCCCUGGCAUCCUCGUGCCUGGGAAGGGCAGGGAACAGGGGCCUGGCGGCAGGUGAGCCCUGGACACCUUUUGUAGCCCUGCUGUGUCAUUGUAGACCCGGGGAUAGAGGCUACUGACUGUGGCAGAGGAGCUCCUCAGGUAAUUGGGUUCCAGGAAGAAAUGGCUCAAAUGCUCUUCUCUGGUGCUGAUGUUUUUUCCUGUUGAGAAAAUUGUAAAGGAGAGAAAGUGGCAUAGAAAAUAAUGCCUUGGGGGAACGUUCUUAGAGUGUAGUUCCAACUUGGUCCCUGAGCAGGGUGUUCUUUCUCCAUGCACACUUGGGGUUGAGUUUUGUGAAUGCUGGUGUCGGCCAGUCGUGUCUUGGCAAAGUCUGUACAUGUGUUUCUUAAUACAUUUUGAAAGUGGCUGCGAAUGUUGGGGAAAAGUUGGUUCAACAAAUUAGAAUAUUGGAACCAAAGAGGAGUCAGUGGAAAUACUUUCUAACUGUGGCUCACUUGAGGAAGUGUUCAAGAAAACAGUCCCUGUUUCUGGUGAGAAAAGAACUCAAGCAUGAUGUGUUCCUCCUUGGAGAUUGCCUGGGCUUCGGUGGCACCUUUCCGAAGGUGUGAGUGGACUAAACAACAUCCAAAAUAUGCUGGGAUCACAUUGGAUGAUGCCUCUCUGUACUUGGAGACUGGCUCCCCUUAACAGGAUUUUAUUCACACAUCUUCAAAAUUUUGCUUUGCAUUUGGAUUACUGAGCUAAGGCUUGAGAUUGUGGUUUAUCUAGCAAAAUCUAUAUUGUAACUUAACAUGACAUUCUACCAAGGAACUGGCAUCUGAACACACUCUAGAUGGGCUGGGGUGAUGCGUAUAGGAGUUACAUUGCUGAACUAUGAGGAAUUUUAAUAUUCUAAUGUCCUCAGCUUUUCAGUCACAUUUGAUUUGAUGAAUAUCUAGUUCUGUCAUGACUGCAUAUUUACCACAUGAAAUGACUGUGCUCAGUUUCAUGAAAUAACCAUAACUGAGCAGCGUGUUAUCUAAUUGAACUGCAAGUCUCUUUUGCAAAAUAGGUGUGGGCAAUCAUUAAAAUAUACAGCCUGUGUUGCCAUUUCCACGUUGCUGGUUCAUAUGCCCUGAGCAUGGAAAUUCCUGCCAUCAGCAAAAAAUUUGUUCUUAUUUGUUUCCCUCUGAUGCACCACGCAAGCUGUAUGAUGUUCUGCGGGUUGUGGGGAGUGAGGAAGCCCGUGCAUGAUAUACGCUCAAGUAGGUGAAGAGAGGACGGAAAGUGGGUUGAUUACAUUUCGCUAAUUAGCAUGUGCAGAAAUUUGAGUAUUCCACUGAUGUGACUGACUUUCUGUAUGUCUGCAAUUUCUUGUGGUGGAAACAAAUACUCCUUUUUUUUUUUUUUUGCCUCCAGGUGUUUGUCUCAAAAAAUCAUGUUGCCAUCCUUCUCUUUACCCAGAAAUCAGCUGAGUUAACCCUUUGCUAUUAUCUGCUACUCUCCUACCAGUCCUAAGAUCUGAGGAUGGUGGCUGUGUCUCAGACUUCAAUAACUAACUCUUUCUGUCUUUGAUGUCUACUAAGGCAGGUUAUACAUUGAUUUUUCUCAGCAAAUCCUGGUUUCAUUAGCAGGAAGCAUUUUUGGGUGUCUGAUCAAAUUAUUCUGCUAAGAUAUAAAUGGAAGACAAACUAGGAUAAAGUGGAAUGUGGUAGCUGCUUGGGGUGAAACUGGGGAGAUAAUCACAGCAGGAUUUAAACACAGUAAUGUACAAAUAUAAUGUAUUGGAUGGUUAUUUUUGCUUCUUGUUCAUGAGUGUAAUAAGAAAUGAAUUUUGAACACUGUAUUAUUUAUUUUAAAUGUCCCCUCACCCCCAGAGUGCAAGGCAUUUAUUUCAAGAUUCUGGUUUGGGGCCAUGCUUUUAUUUUCUCCUGACUUUACCCCAGUUGUCUUCUUGGAAAAGAAAUUGGAGCUUCAUGCCAGACCUGCUUGUCUCUGAAAUUGCAGGUUCAGGUCAUACGUCCUCUGAAAGUCUCUGAAAUAGGAAGGAAGGUUAGAAAACUGGAUCAGUCAAGGGAUUUUUUGCACCAGAGUUCAUGACGUGAUGGGUGCUUUCUGCUUCUAGAAUAACAAGGCCUGAUUCCUCUCUAGCAGCUGCUGUUCAGGGAGAUGCUGUGGCAGCUGCAUGCUGUGUAUGCUCUGACUCCACAAAUUGGGGAAGACCCUAAAUCAACCAGUCCCCUGGGCUUGAAGGCAGGCUUACCUUGAGGUAAGGCAGUCUCCUGUUCUGGUGAUGACGUCCAGAGAUAAACUGGCGAGCCCUGUGGGCACCUGGUGAGAAGUUUCCUCAGUCAUCACCUCAAGAACUUCUUCCUUUCUGAAAGGAGUUUCCCUCACCUGGGCAAGCUCUUUUCUUCCAGUCUUGCAGACGAAGAUUAAGCAGUCCCUCCCCUUGAGUCAGAGACCUCCAGGUCCUUGAAAGUGUUCUCAACUCUGGAUGGGACCAUUCUCAAAACCGUCUUGCAGAGUUUCCUUAGGCUAUCAUGUUCCAUUCCUUUAGUGGUUUUUAAAAUCAUUCUGAAAUGCUUUGCUUGUGCUCAGUAACUUUUGGAUAGGUAUUUCCCAAACUUUGUUUGGAAAUUUUUUUUAUAAAGUUCCUUGUGUUGAGGACUAACCCCCCGGGUUUCUUAACUCCAUUCGUGUUACCAAGUUGCUUUCACAAAUGUGUGGGUUCUUCCACUGGCCCCUGGUGAGUGGUAUAAAUGAUCCUUUCUUGUCUGCUUUGGCUUCAUGCAUUCUCCCUUGUCCUUCCUCUCUCACCUCACUUCUCUCUCUUCCACACACACACAAACCGUUUACUGUGAUGUUCUGCAUAGAAGUGUGUAUUUAUGGCACUGCUAUGAGAUAUCCGGACCAAACUCUUUUGUGUUCAGCUCUCAUUAAAAGUUUGGUCUGCAGGAAAUGUUAUUCUCGUAAUUUGGACUGGAGAGAUCCAUGCUAUUGCUCCCAGUGAUACUUCACUGAUGGACAUAACCCAAGAUGCUCACCUUCUUGCAUCCCAUCAGUAACACUGACCUAAAUCGUCAGUCUCACAGAGGAUGCUGUCAGGAGUCUGUGAUCCAGUCCAUUUUUUAGAGCCUUUUGUUCUGAAAUAAUUUAUAGGAAAGUUGCAAAGAUAAGACCGGGAGUUCCCUGUACCAACCUUCCCCUAAUGUCCAUAUCCUACUUAAUCAUGACCUGUUUAUUACAAUAAAGAAAUUAACACGAGUGCGAUACUGUUAGCU
ensembl:lncRNA